GGAGACAAGAUGGCACACGGGGAAACACUUGUUCUAAUAACCAAUUUGUGGUUAACAGCCAGGGGUGGUCAGUACUAAAAAGGUGCAAACAAGGGGACCACACAGAGUUGGUUCAGUAAACGACCGGAGGUGUACGGACAGCCAAACAAAAGUGUAUUUAGACCAUCCAUUGUGCCCCCCCCUUAACCACAAGCCAGCAUACACAGUCUAAUCC